rnacentral:rRNA from 1 species
GGAUCAUAUGUCGGUCGUGCUUUCGGUACGUACUGGUAUCAUUGGUUUCUCCUUUCUGACGAACCAUGAUGUCAUUAAUUUGGUGUUAUGGGGAGUUAGGACUGUUACUUUGAAAAAAUCAGAGUGUUUAAAGCAAGCUUAUUGCUCGAAUACAUUAGCAUGGAAUAAUAAAAUAGGACGUUCGAACCUAUUUUGUUGGUUUCUAGGAUCAACGUA